CUCUCAAUAAACACACAUGGGCGAAACACUUGCCGUACAGGCACCCACUACCACUGCCGCGACUGGGAGCACCACCUCGGAGCAUUUCGUGUACUAUUGAACGGAACUGGCCAGGGGUUUUUCAGGCACAGAAAGAUGGCGAGCUAAGCUAAGGAGGCCUAGAACCAGGACCGACUAGGACUCCACAUAAAUGAACUGACUACUCACCUGCUGGUAGGAGUUUGGCCAACCUGAACUGUUCCCCAUUUUUCCCCCCUUGGUCACUGCCUCACAUGAGGUUUUCACUAUCUGGUCACCAAGACUUGGACUGGUUGGUAUUCAGCUGAAAGAAAACAUAGUGAAUCUCACACAUUGCAUUCCUUGUAUAUUCUUGUAAAUGG